CCCCCUACUUUGAGGGGGAGGGCAAAGCAGAUGCUGCUAUAUGGCUCUAUCCCAUUCAUGGAUAGGCCCAUAUCAGGGAGAAUCUGCAGGCAGCCAGAUCCACUCCAUGCCAGCAUACAUGCCACAGCAUACAACAGGGGCCAAAUCUGGCCUCUGAUAUGAAAUUAUUGCCUCUUAGGCCGUGUCUAAACAUAAGUUUUACCAAUUGAAAGGAAUCCAUUUAGAAACUGACAUAAAAUCAGAGUAAUCCCCUUGUGUACACACUCUUCAAUUGGUUGAAGAGAGUCUUGUAUCACUUUAACUAAAUCCAGUAAGGAAUCAAACUAAACUAAAUUAAUAUAAGGCAUUCAAACACAUGUAAGAGUGUCCAUGCUGAUUUGGUUGAAUCACUACAACUUUUGUAUGUAGACAGGUUGAGUUAUUUUAAAGAAUUCUUCGCUAUCACGGUGUGAAGGUAUUUAAGUUACUACAGUCUACAUGUAUCUGACGAAGUGGGUAUUAACCCACGAAAGCUCAUGCUCCAAUACUUCUGUUAGUCUAUAAGGUGCCACAGGACUCUUUGUCGCUUUUGACAGUCUAGUGGUUGAGGCUGUUACUCAAUGGCUGAUUUAAGUUUGGAAUCAUCAAUUCAGUACUAAUUCACGAGAAGCUGUCACUUUGCUGUAAUAUAUGAACCCACUCUUCUGUAUAAUUGACUGUCUUUACCCACUUUCAUUGUAAAGUUCUUUAAACUUAAAUAGAAUGUAAAGGGAAACAAAUUGUGCAUUUGACCAAACAUCUACAGUAGGAAAAAUACACAAAAAGGAAAGGCUUAUAGAGAUGGGUCUGAGAAUCUGGCCCUGACUCUGCCUGCUUUGUGCUACCUCAGCGCUGCAGCUAGAAUAAUUUAAAGCAGACAUAUAAGGUUCUGUUAUUUUGCUGGGGCUUUUCCAACACCCAUCUGCCUCAGAAUCAGAUCAGGGUAGUGGAAUGAUGGUUUUGAGUCAAUUUGCUUCCUGUUCCUCCUUCGUAGUGCCUAAUCUGGCUCAUGAAAUUCAUUAGAACGAUACAUUGGAGUCACACUGAUAUAAACUGUCAUUUAACACAUUUCAGAAAUAUUAUCCAGAUAUUUUAUUUGGACUAUACUGUGAGCUGCUUUCAAUUCUAUUAUUUCUUCAGUGCUUAAAAUGAUUCUAUGGCUGACUGGAAAACUGAUAGGAUGAUGCCAUCAGACAUACUGUGCAACAGAAAUUCAACUGGCUGAGAGGAAAGAGUUUUUAAUAUAUAUAUGUAGGACCGGUUUUUUCAAACUCUGUUGUUGUUAAGCUCAAACUCCUGAAAACACAGGUGGGAGGAAAGCUGUCCUUGGUAAAGAUUCAAGAGACCCACCCUGCCCACUUUAAAUACUUCAGCAAAACUAGGGGAAACCAGACUUGCCACUUCUGUUAUUUCUAAGGUAAGGAACCUUUUCUUAAAGAUAAAUCAAACAAGAACCAAACCCUUUCAAGCCUUCAAUUUACACCAUAAAUAAGAAUACACACCAAUUUUCUCCUUUAUAAGUCAGCUGAGCUUAUUUCAUGUUGCAAUGUUUCAAAAUAUUGAGCAAGAUUUUAAAAAAUGGCUGCCCAAAGUUAGGCUUUCAAGUCUGUUCCCCAUGAGCUGGGGUGGGUGAGUGGGAGGGAGGCGAGACUGUGGAGGGGGCAGUAUAUGGCCCAGUAUCCCUAUCAUCGUACCAUACCGGAAUAGUUGGGCUUGAUAUAAUAAUGGCAUCUUUGUCAACUUAAUUUGAGUUUUUCGUGGCUGGUUGGAAGAAUGCAACCCUUUCCAUGUACAGUUUAUUCCAUGAAUGAAGAAUCAUUUGCUCUGGGCAAAUAACUUGAGGAUUUUCUUGUUCAAACUAGACACUUGAAAGCUGCACAUGCCCUUUUAUAGGCAAUAUAUGAAAUGUAGUAAUAAAUUCAAAGAAUCCCAAGAUAACCUCAACCAGAAGCCAAUAAAUAUUGCACAUAUUAUACAUUCAGAACAUGCAUUAAAUGCUAACAAUACUAAUAACAUUACAAAAAUAACUCUUGAGAAGGAACAGAAAAUCUGUUUCGAAAGACAGCUCUUUCAGGAAAAGAAACAUUCCUUUGGUGCUCUCCUCAUCCCAGUCCCUGGUAGACACACACGAUUUGGCAUGAUUGGCAGUCUCCUCAGGAAUGGAAUAAAAGAAGAGGUGUGUAGGUCAGGAUGUAGGUGCUAUGGUGGAGCUGUAUGCUGGGAAAGUUUGCACAGCACCUGCCUCAUCUAUGGAGGGUCUUGUGCAAAUUGUGAGGUUUCUUAUUUCAAGAGGAUCUUUAAAUCACCACCAAAAAUGUAAACACAACAGCAUUUCUCUCAUAGGUGAAGGAUAUUGUUAGACUUGAAGUUAAAAAAUAAUAGCAGUAAUUUCAGCUGAGCCUCAGGUAGACAGAAUACAACUAUCAAAGGUGAUGCAAAGAUUUUGCGGAAUCAGUUUCUUACCUUUAAGUGUGAACACAUCUGUGAAUUUUACUUCUCUGUGUUUCUCAUAGAAUGACACUCUGUUUCAGCAGACUCUUCUAAAGAAAGGAAUGGCAGUCACAUACACCCUGGAUCUGUCUGAAACUCACAGGUCCUGUGCCACCUUGCUAGUGGCUGAAUAGGGGAACCCAGGCCCAUCUACUACUCCAGGUUCCAGCUCAGGGACCCAAUGACUAGAAACCUGAAAGGCAUCCCGUCUUGAUUUGAAGACACCGAGAUGGGGGAAUCUACCAUUUCUCUUGAUCCAAGGACUGCAUUAGUUCUUUUUGCCACAAUAUCACACUGGGACCUUGUGUUCAGUUGCUUGUCUACUACGGCUCCUAAGUCCUUCUCAGAGUUACUGCUUUACAGGAUAUAGUUCCCCAUUCUAUAGGCCAAGUUGAUUUACACCUGCGGCAAGCAAUGUUUGUCAUCAGUCAAUAACAAGAUAUGCUGCUUCUGGACAAACAAAUCAGCAGCCCUAGAUGGGGGCUGAAGAGAAGUAGUUUUGGCGCGAAGUUGUCUUUACAUCUGACCCAGAAACAAGAAAAAGAUUGAGAGGGAAAAAAGGACAGUGUAAAAACAGAAGUGAUAGAGCUGUACACAAACCCCAAUAUCCAAUAACCCAAUUAAUGUGUAUUCAGAACUCUGGACUCUUUAGUCAAUUGCUAUGUCAGUGAAUCUUUGGAUUCAAAUGAAGUUCCUCCUCUUACCACAUCACCUCAGAAGGGCCCCUUAUUUCAUUGUGUUAUCAAUCCUUAUCCACUACUGUAUUAGUUCCUUAUUCAGUAAUAACCCUACCAGCCUCCUUUAUCUUUAAGAAAACUAAAACUCAAGGCCUGGCAACUCUGUCUGUGUACUAGGACCACCUGAUUGAUCUGUCCAAAGUGCACAUAGGGCUUCUGUAUCAAACACACCUCAGCGUGCCUUGAACGUCUGAUCAGGAUGCCUCUGGAACACAUUCACUGUACACAGAACAGCUGGUUUCUUGUUCCUUUGGUGAAGUUUCUCAAAGGGAAAUCAACUUGAAAGGGAGUGAUUAGGGUGCACGAAGAGGAAAAUCACUCAAGUCUGAGUCUGUUGAGGAAGAAGGAGGCACUUUCUGCAAAAUGUUGUGCUCUUUGCUCGCACCUACUGAAAAUUUGGCACGGCUCCUCCUCCAAACUUGAUCUGUUUUGGGGU